UCCCUGGUGGUCCAAUGGUUAAGAAUCUGCCUUUCAAUGCAGGAGACACAGGUUCGAUACCUGUUCCGGGAA
rnacentral:tRNA from 1 species